CCAAUUUCCUUUCUCAAUGCCUUCAAGCGUUUUCUUUUUUAUUUUUAAAUCUCAUUUAAUUUUCAUCUAAUUUCACGGAAAGAUCUGUCUUCUCAAGAAAAUUAAGACCGUAUCCGAUAUUCACUUCCUUAAUCAGUGCGACCGAAAGAAGAAGAAAACAGAUAUUCAUACAAAAAGAAGAUAUGUAUCAGUGGGAUACGGGAUUCAAACUUGAUUGCCUAAAUUGCAGGCGAAGAAGGAGAAACAAGAAAGCAGAGUAGCUAAGUGAGACAAUAUAAUCUGCAACAUCAAGUGGUGAUCAAAAGGGCGUGAGAUUCCAUGGCAUAAUGAUAUGGGCUCCCGUGAGUGCUUGAUUGGGGAAAUGGAAUAAUUUGGAAGGGCAUGUGCACAAGAGGUGGUGGUGACAGGCAAAGGCAAUAGAAUCUGGAGAGGGAAGGGGAAACAAGCAAAGUCCAAACACACAGAAAGAGCCAAAUGGUGGAGUCGUCAGGGAAGAAAGGGAAAGUUGUGUGUGAAUGAAAGAGUUGGGUUCCAAUCAGGCAGGCACAGCCAGCAGCAGCAUCUAUUCUAUUCCCUUCAUUCCCUCUAUCUUUCCAAUAUAUUUGUUUGGUCGACCUUUUCCCACCUUGGAAGUCCUGCAGCUUUAUCAUCAACUUUUCCUCAUUUUCUUUCUGCUCUCUCUCAGUGUCCUCCUUGCAGGCUUCUCCAUGUGCUUUUGCCCCCGUCACUUCUCUUUCCUCUACCUGGAUUGAGAGCCCAUUAGCUACCUACAUACCCUCUCUGUCUAUAUCCCAAACGGUAAUGAACGGAUUAGAUAAAUAACAUUUCUUUCUUCUCCUAUGUAAUUGUCUUUCUAGAAAUUACUUGGACAAUGAUGCUGGUGUCACUUUAUGGAGUUAAUGCGUUCGUUUCAGUUCACAUGGUAGACCCUGUGUCACUCGAUUAUGAGAAUCUAGGUAGCAAGUAAAGUCAGUUACUCGAUGAAAAGAAGGUUGCGGGGGCAAAAUUAAAUCUUUCGACAGUUAAAUAAUAGUUCACAUAUUUGGCUUCACAUUUGUUUGUACGUUUAAUGCAUCUUUGGCUUCACAUGUAGACCACAUAUAUUUAUGGAGGAGGUAACCCGGGGGAACUAACUUCUUAUUCUUUUUCUUCCAACAUUUAUAGCGAUGUCAGUUAAUUUGAAAUCUCUAUAGAAGUCGGUUUAAAUACGGGGAACAAAUGAAGGGAAAAAUUAUCGAAGCCCUUCCAAAAGGACCUCCAUGUAAAUGCUAUGUGCUGCAUUCUUACGUCAUGUUGUACUAAAUGAACAGGCAAACAAAAACUACACACAGUAUAACAGGAAAAGGACGCUGAGGGGCAAAAUCUUGUUCUUUAAAGAAGUCCAAUUGUGGGGGAGAUAGGAAUCUAAAUGUGAUCCAAACACUUAGAGACAAAAUCUAAUUCAGAAGAUAAAAAAGGACUGAUUCCCUUCGAUUUCUUAUGUAAUGGAAGACAACUUUGAAGAGGGAAGCAUUCCCACAGCUAUAUUAAGCCCUUCUCUUAUUUAUCUACAUCCCUCUCCUUCUCACCCUUUUCAUCCCCAAAUAUGACCCCAACACCCUCAAAACUGAUCCUAACCCUGGCCAAGAGAAUAGACGUCCAGGUAGAUGGAGUACUGUUUUGUGGAGCUUGGUCUGCAUAAGCCUGAGAACUAUGAGGGACGGUUUUGUCAUUUGGGAGAGACUUUCCUCCUCCUUCUGCAUAUAUGCUGCUAAGUAGCUUCUAACUAGCACGCGCAGGCUACUUCCUGACUCAAGCGUUGCAGCUUGUGAAGGCAUUUGGUUAAUUAAGCCAGCUGCCUCGUCGUACGUCUUCCAUGGAGUGCCUGGCUCCCUGUAUGCCAUUUGCGUAGCCCAUCAGUGCAGUGUUGGCCUUGGUGAAUGGCGUGCGAGGAGUCAUGCAUGCUGGCAUUGCUCUUCAUCAGAGCAGACUUAAUCUCUACCCGUCCCAUUUCAUAUUCAGUUUCUGCAUUUUGUACAAUUCUCAACUCCUUAACGAGUCUUCCAUUUCUUUAUGCUUUGCCCUCUUUAAUUACUCACUCGGUUGUCUUGUCUAACUUGUUGCUCCGAGAUUCCUUUGGACUUGUCUUGAUGAGAGGCAGGUUUGCCGGUUAGGAAUUGGAUACACAUUUACGUCCAGUACUGAUCAUUAUCACCUUGAUUACAUGGUUGCUUGACACAGUCACAAGUCCUUGUUCUUCUGUAGUAUCUUUUUUGUUGGUAUAGGCUUCUUUUUGCAUUUGUUCGCAUCUAAGUCAAAUGAUCCUUCAAAGUAGGUUUGUGGUUUUUGAAUUAAUUACUAUCGUUGAAAAGUCAUAAUUUCUCUCACAGGGUAAGCAUACAAUUGAGCCAGAAGUUAAAUGAGAAUUAUAUUUAUCACCUGUCAAACUAACAAGCUUUAUCCGAUCAGCAAUAGGAAUUUUUGUUUUAGAAAUAACUUUGUGGAUAUUGGUUAUGUUGUUUAACACUGCUAUAGCCUUUUUGGUUUAUUAUAAUCGAUGAUUCACUGAUAUGUGCACAUUUACCUUAUAAUUUCUGCACUCCCGUAUUCACACACAAUACACUUUGUACUUAAAACACAAAAGAAAAUGCUAUUUACUUAUUUAACGAGGGGUUACUAUUUAUCAUUCGUAGUGCUAAACUAAUUGAAAAUUAUAUAGUUGAGCUUGAGUAUUCUAGUUUAAAGACUAAAAAUUUAAACCACAAAGAUUUGCGUCUUACGACUCUGGAUUAAUUUUUUUUUUUUCCUUUUAACCCCGAGUCUUUUGAAAUAGUUUCAAAGUUUAGAGUUCCUCAUAUUAUUAUUUUUAAUUCCGGUUCCCCAGCUGUGAUUUUUAUAUACUAGAUUUUACUCUCAGGAUCUUGUUAAAAUUGACACAGUGUGGCAGCUAGGAUCCAGCUCUUGUAAUCCAAUUCAUACUAGAAUCAAAAUUUUAUUAGCUAGCCAGUGAUAAGUGCUUGGAGGAUGCUGCGUGGUACACAAGGCUAAGGAAAACAAGGAGAAGUCAUGAUAGCUGUCCUUCGUUUCUGCAUCAAUUUUCUUGAGGGUCCUUUAUUAUCAACCGCAAAUUGAAGACUAGAAGAUUUGAAGCUUUUGGCAUAGAUGAGAUCAUGGUAGGCAACAGUUUGAGAACUUUGUCUUGUUCAGUAUGUUCUUAAACAAUAGAAUCUUAACCGCAGUUGACAUUUAUGGCGGGUUGCUAUGUGAUCCUCACACGCAAUGACGCCAUGAAAGCCCCACUUUAUUGAAGCCAAGCUUUCUUGUUGGAGGAUUUUGUUCGCCUACAGCAUUGGACUUAAUUGCUGCUGUAUGAAAUUGUUGUACCUUCUGCGCUGCCCGUAUCUGCAACUCGAUUCCGGCCUUAUCACUGUACGCCUACUCUUUCUUUCUCCCUCUCUUUCCUCUGUGGAUAUACUGCUCAUUUCACUAAAGCAGUCGGUGGUGGAGCCUUAAAUAUUUUAUUGUUGUAAACACUGAAACAUCAUUAUCAAACUCAAACACUAAUCAGGUCGAUAUCUUUAUAUAUAGUUAUGUGACUUAGA